AAACUUAAAUGAAUUGAGGGGCCCGCACAAGCGGUGGAGCAUGUGGUUUAAUUCGACGCAACGCGAAGAACCUUACCUACCCUUGACAUGUCUGGAAUCCCGAAGAGAUUUGGGAGUGCUCGCAAGAGAACCGGAACACAGGUGCUGCAUGGCUGUCGUCAGCUCGUGUCGUGAGAUGUUGGGUUAAGUCCCGCAACGAGCGCAACCCUUGUCAUUAGUUGCUACGAAAGGGCACUCUAAUGAGACUGCCGGUGACAAACCGGAGGAAGGUGGGGAUGACGUCAAGUCCUCAUGGCCCUUAUGGGUAGGGCUUCACACGUCAUACAAUGGUCGGGACAGAGGGUUGCCAACCCGCGAGGGGGAGCUAAUCCCAGAAACCCGAUCGUAGUCCGGAUUGCAGUCUGCAACUCGACUGCAUGAAGUCGGAAUCGCUAGUAAUCGCGGAUCAGCAUGUCGCGGUGAAUACGUUCCCGGGUCUU
rnacentral:rRNA from 1 species